rnacentral:rRNA from 1 species
AGAGUUUGAUCAUGGCUCAGAACGAACGCUGGCGGCGUGCUUAACACAUGCAAGUCGAGUGCGCGUGCCGUAGCAAUACGGUAUGGCGCACGGCGCACGGGUGCGUAACACGUGGGCAAUCUGCCCUCCGAUGGGGAAUAACUCCGGGAAACCGAAGCUAAUUCCGCAUAACAUUCCCUGGACUCCGGUUUGGGGACUCAAAGCAGCAAUGCGUCGGAGGAGGAGCCCGCGCCCGAUUAGCUAGUUGGUGAGGUAACGGCUCACCAAGGCUAUGAUCGGUAGCUGGUCCGAGAGGAUGGCCAGCCACACUGGAACUGAGACACGGUCCAGACUCCUACGGGAGGCAGCAGUGGGGAAUCUUGCGCAAUGGGCGAAAGCCUGACGCAGCGACGCCGCGUGGGGGAUGAAGCUUCUCGGAGUGUAAACCCCUUUCGACCGGGACGAAUGCCCGCAAGGGAGUGACGGUACCGGUUGAAGAAGCCCCGGCUAACUACGUGCCAGCAGCCGCGGUAAGACGUAGGGGGCCAGCGUUGUUCGGAAUUACUGGGUGUAAAGGGUUCGUAGGCGGUGUGGCAAGUCGGGAGUGAAAUUUCUGGGCUUAACUCAGAACCUGCUUCCGAGACUGCUGUGCUCGAGUGUGGGAGAGGCGCGUGGAAUUGCAGGUGUAGCGGUGAAGUGCGUAGAUAUCUGCAGGAACACCCGUGGCGAAAGCGGCGCGCUGGACCACUACUGACGCUGAGGAACGAAAGCUAGGGGAGCAAACAGGAUUAGAUACCCUGGUAGUCCUAGCCCUAAACGAUCAGGACUUGGGGUGCCACCCGUUCGGGUGUCGUCCCGGGAGCUAACGCGUUAAGUCCUGCACCUGGGGAGUACGGUCGCAAGACUGAAACUCAAAGGAAUUGACGGGGGCCCGCACAAGCGGUGGAACAUGUGGUUC